AGUUAGCUUCUCGUGCUCUUAAGUGCGUAUUUCUGGGUUUCUCGAGAACACAAAAGGGGUAUCGAUGCUACUCUCCUGACCUCCAGCGGUACCUUAUGUCCGCUGAUGUUACCUUCUUUGAAACCCAAUCAUACUUCACAGGUUCAGGUCAUCACUUAGAUAUUUCUGAGGUACUACCAGUUUCAUCUUUUGGAGAUUCAGUCACUCCAGCUCCACCACCUACAGCUCCAGUUGUAGCUCCACCACCUAUAGCUCUAGUUGUAGCUUUACCACCUAUAGCUCCAGUUCCA
rnacentral:lncRNA from 1 species